AUUGAACGCUGGCGGCAUGCCUUACACAUGCAAGUCGAACGGCAGCACGGGAGCAAUCCUGGUGGCGAGUGGCGAACGGGUGAGUAAUAUAUCGGAACGUGCCCAGUAGUGGGGGAUAACCCGGCGAAAGCCGGACUAAUACCGCAUACGACCUACGGGUGAAAGCAGGGGAUCGCAAGACCUUGCGCUAUCGGAGCGGCCGAUAUCAGAUUAGCUUGUUGGUGGGGUAAAAGCCUACCAAGGCGACGAUCUGUAGCUGGUCUGGGAGGACGACCAGCCACACUGGGACUGAGACACGGCCCAGACUCCUACGGGAGGCAGCAGUGGGGAAUUUUGGACAAUGGGCGCAAGCCUGAUCCAGCCAUGCCGCGUGCGGGAAGAAGGCC
rnacentral:rRNA from 1 species